rnacentral:rRNA from 1 species
AGUCACUGCUAUUGGGUCCGGCUAAGCCAUGCGAGCGGAGGCGCGGUCGAAAGAUCGUGGCCCCGCACACGGCUCAGUAACACGUAGUCAACCUACCCUUGGGACGGGAACAACCUCGGGAAACUGAGGCUAAUUCCCGAUAGGCGAGGGACGCUGGGAUGCUUCCUCGCCCAAAGCUCCGGCGCCCAGGGAUGGGACUGCGGUCUAUCAGGCUGUUGGUGGUGUAACGGACCACCAAACCUACGACGGGUACAGGCGAUGGGAGUCGGAGCCUGGAGAUGGGGACUGAGACAAGGCCCCAGGCCCUACGGGGCGCAGCAGGCGCGAAAACUCCGCAAUGCGCGUAAGCGUGACGGGGGGACCCCAAGUGCCGUUGGUCUUUUGAUCGACGGCUUUUAGGAAGUCUAUGAAGCUUCCAGAAUAAGGGCUGGGUAAGACUGGUGCCAGCCGCCGCGGUAACACCAGCAGCCCAAGUGGUGGCCACGAUUAUUGGGCCUAAAGCGCUCGUAGCCGGGUCAGCAAGUCCCUUGUGAAAUCGGGCCGCCUAACGGUUCGGCGUGCAAGGGAUACUGUUGGUCUUGAGGCCGGGAGAGGUCGGAGGUACUCCUGGGGUAGCGGUGAAAUGCUCUAAUCCUGGGGGGACCACCAGUGGCGAAGGCGUCCGACCAGAACGGACCUGACGGUGAGGGGCGAAGGCUAGGGGAGCGAACGGGAUUAGAUACCCCGGUAGUCCUAGCUGUAAAGCAUGCGGGCCAGGUGUCUAGCGCUCCUCGAGGGCGCUAGGUGCCGGAGGGAAGCCGUUAAGCCCGCCGCCUGGGAAGUACGGCCGCAAGGUUGAAACUUAAGAAAUUGGCGGGGAGCACCACAAGAGGUGGGACCUGCGGUUC